GGCUGCUUGGCCCAAUGGUUAAGGCGUCUGACUACGACCGAGUGUGGUGCCCAGCUAUGAUCUGGUGUAUAAACAAACGUAACAUGCUUGAUGGAGCUAAUCAGGAGAUUCUGGGUUCGACUCCCAGGGUGGCCU